rnacentral:rRNA from 1 species
CCUACGGGAGGCUGCAGUAGGGAAUUUUCGUCAAUGGGGGAAACCCUGAACGAGCAAUGCCGCGUGAGUGAAGAAGGUCUUCGGAUCGUAAAGCCCUGUUGUAAGUGAAGAACGGCUCAUAGAGGAAAUGCUAUGGGAGUUACGGUAGCUUACCAGAAAGCCACGGCCAACUACGUGCCAGCAGCCGCGGUAAUACGUAGGUGGCAAGCGUUAUCCGGAGUCAUUGGGCGUAAAGGGUGCGUAGGUGGCUCACUAAGUCUGUAGUAAAAGGCAAUGGCUCAACCAUUGUGAGCUAUUGAAACUGGUAUGCUGGAGUGCGGAAGAGGGAGAUGGAAUGCGAGGUGUAGCGGUAAAAUGCGUAGAUAUAGGGAAGAACACCGGUGGCGAAGGCGGUGGCCUGGUCUGUAACUGACACUGAGGCACGAAAGCGUGGGGAGCGAAUAGGAUUAGAUACCCGAGUAGUC